rnacentral:tRNA from 1 species
GACGUAGUAGCCAAGCUGGAAAGGCAGCGGACUGCAACUCCGCGAGCGUGGGUUCGACUCCCACUUACGUCUCUA